rnacentral:misc_RNA from 1 species
AAAGUCGUAACAAGGUCUCCGUUGGUGAACCAGCGGAGGGAUCAUUACCGGGUCAGCGACUGCCCAAACCACACCGUGCACCGCCGUCUACCAAUCGUCUUCGCUGCGGCGGGCCGCUCGCUGGGGGAGCCCUGGGGCCGCUAGGCCGGCCCGCCGAAGCAUCGUUUAGGCAGUAGCCUCACUGGCGACCUCUGAGAACACAAAAAAUAACGAGUCACAACUCACAACGAUGGAUCUCUUGGCUCUG